rnacentral:rRNA from 1 species
AUUGAACGCUGGCGGCAGGCUUAACACAUGCAAGUCGAGCGAGCGGCGGACGGGUGUGUAAUGUCUGGGAAACUGCCUGAUGGAGGGGGACAACUACUGGAAACGGUAGCUAAUACCGCACACCAUCAGAUGUGCCCAGGUGGGAUGAGCUAGUAGGUGGGUGAAUGUCUCACCUAGGCGACGAUCCCUAGCUGGUCUGAGAGGCUGACCAGCCCCACUGGAACUGAGAAACGGUACAGACUCCUACGGGAGGCAGCAGUGGUGCAUAUUGCACAAUGGGCGCAAGCCUGAUUCAGCCAUGCCGCGUGUGUGAAGAAGGCCUUCGGGUUUUAAAGCACUUUCACCGAGGAGGCGUUACUCGCAGAAGAAGCACCGGCUAACUCCGUGCCAGCAGCCGCGGUAAUUC